rnacentral:lncRNA from 1 species
CUUUCAGUGGUCAGCUAGAAUUGGUUCCACAUCAGAUAUGUGUGUGCUAGCAGGGGUCCCCCUUUUUCUGCUUGGCUUCCUGGUGAGGGAAAAGCAAGAAGAAAGGCAGAAAGCAAAGCGAUGUCUGAUCUGAAGGAGGAACAAGGCUCCUAGAAGUGUUUUUCUCUGUCAUCUACCACUACUGUGCCAGAAGCUGCUGAUUCUACCUCUGGGUGAAUUCUACAACUGACUUUGGUUACUAGUGAGACCUCUGAUGAGACUUCAAGAACACGAAGAAAUUCCCUCUCGGAGGCUUGCGUUGAAGCUCUUUCAUCAUUAGUCUGCUUAUUGGAAUCCACGACUCUGAAUUGGCCUGCCAAUUCAUAUAAAUAGGCCCAGAGGUACGUCUAAUGCUUUCAUCUAAUCAAAAGAUAUGACUUUUACGUGUUG